UACAGAGGGUGCGAGCGUUAAUCGGAAUAACUGGGCGUAAAGGGCGCGUAGGUGGUUGCAAGAGUGUGAUGUGAAAGCCCCGGGCUCAACCUGGGAAUGGCCGUUGAAACUGGCGAACUGGAGUGUGGCAGAGGGGGGUGGAAUUCCGCGUGUAGCAGUGAAAUGCGUAGAGAUGCGGAGGAACACCGAUGGCGAAGGCAGCCCCCUGGGCUGACACUGACGCUCAGGCACGAAAGCGUGGGGAGCAAACAGG
rnacentral:rRNA from 1 species